UCCAGACUGACCAAGGGAAUACUAAUGUC
rnacentral:piRNA from 1 species